rnacentral:rRNA from 1 species
GGUUAAGCGACUAAGCGUACACGGUGGAUGCCCUGGCAGUCAGAGGCGAUGAAGGACGUGCUAAUCUGCGAAAAGCGUCGGUAAGGUGAUAUGAACCGUUAUAGCCGGCGAUGUCCGAAUGGGGAAACCCAGUGCAAUUCGUUGCACUAUCGUUAACUGAAUACAUAGGUUAACGAGGCGAACCGGGGGAACUGAAACAUCUAAGUACCCCGAGGAAAAGAAAUCAACCGAGAUUCCCCCAGUAGCGGCGAGCGAACGGGGAGCAGCCCAGAGUCUGAAUCAGCUUGUGUGUUAGUGGAACGGUCUGGAAAGUCCGACGGUACAGGGUGAUAGUCCCGUACACCAAAAUGCACAGGCUGUGAACUCGAAGAGUAGGGCGGGACACGUGGUAUCCUGUCUGAAUAUGGGGGGACCAUCCUCCAAGGCUAAAUACUCCUGACUGACCGAUAGUGAACCAGUACCGUGAGGGAAAGGCGAAAAGAACCCCGGCGAGGGGAGUGAAAAAGAACCUGAAACCGUGUACGUACAAGCAGUGGGAGCACCUUCGGGUGUGACUGCGUACCUUUUGUAUAAUGGGUCAGCGACUUAUAUUCUGUAGCAAGGUUAACCGUAUAGGGGAGCCGCAGGGAAACCGAGUCUUAACUGGGCGUUAAGUUGCAGGGUAUAGACCCGAAACCCGGUGAUCUAGCCAUGGGCAGGUUGAAGGUUGGGUAACACUAACUGGAGGACCGAACCGACUAAUGUUGAAAAAUUAGCGGAUGACUUGUGGCUGGGGGUGAAAGGCCAAUCAAACCGGGAGAUAGCUGGUUCUCCCCGAAAGCUAUUUAGGUAGCGCCUCGUGAACUCAUCUUCGGGGGUAGAGCACUGUUUCGGCUAGGGGGUCAUCCCGACUUACCAACCCGAUGCAAACUACGAAUACCG